CCUACGGGCGGCAGCAGUGGGGAAUAUUGGACAAUGGGCGAAAGCCUGAUCCAGCCAUGCCGCGUGUGUGAAGAAGGCCUUCGGGUUGUAAAGCACUUUCAGUGGGGAAGAAAGCCUUGGGGCUAAUACCCUCGAGGAAGGACAUCACCCACAGAAGAAGCACCGGCUAACUCCGUGCCAGCAGCCGCGGUAAUACGGAGGGUGCGAGCGUUAAUCGGAAUUACUGGGCGUAAAGCGCGCGUAGGCGGUCUGAUAAGCCGGUUGUGAAAACCCCGGGCUCAACCUGGGAACGGCAUCCGGAACUGUCAGGCUAGAGUGCAGGAGAGGAAGGUAGAAUUCCCGGUGUAGCGGUGAAAUGCGUAGAGAUCGGGAGGAAUACCAGUGGCGAAGGCGGCCUUCUGGACUGACACUGACGCUGAGGUGCGAAAGCGUGGGUAGCAAACAGGAUUAGAUACCCCUGUAGUC
rnacentral:rRNA from 1 species